rnacentral:rRNA from 1 species
AACUCUGGUAUUGAUUGGUGCUUGCAUCAUGAUUUACAUUUGAGUGAGUGGCGAACUGGUGAGUAACACGUGGGAAACCUGCCCAGAAGCGGGGGAUAACACCUGGAAACAGAUGCUAAUACCGCAUAACAACUUGGACCGCAUGGUCCGAGCUUGAAAGAUGGCUUCGGCUAUCACUUUUGGAUGGUCCCGCGGCGUAUUAGCUAGAUGGUGGGGUAACGGCUCACCAUGGCAAUGAUACGUAGCCGACCUGAGAGGGUAAUCGGCCACAUUGGGACUGAGACACGGCCCAAACUCCUACGGGAGGCAGCAGUAGGGAAUCUUCCACAAUGGACGAAAGUCUGAUGGAGCAACGCCGCGUGAGUGAAGAAGGGUUUCGGCUCGUAAAACUCUGUUGUUAAAGAAGAACAUAUCUGAGAGUAACUGUUCAGGUAUUGACGGUAUUUAACCAGAAAGCCACGGCUAACUACGUGCCAGCAGCCGCGGUAAUACGUAGGUGGCAAGCGUUGUCCGGAUUUAUUGGGCGUAAAGCGAGCGCAGGCGGUUUUUUAAGUCUGAUGUGAAAGCCUUCGGCUCAACCGAAGAAGUGCAUCGGAAACUGGGAAACUUGAGUGCAGAAGAGGACAGUGGAACUCCAUGUGUAGCGGUGAAAUGCGUAGAUAUAUGGAAGAACACCAGUGGCGAAGGCGGCUGUCUGGUCUGUAACUGACGCUGAGGCUCGAAAGUAUGGGUAGCAAACAGGAUUAGAUACCCUGGUAGUCCAUACCGUAAACGAUGAAUGCUAAGUGUUGGAGGGUUUCCGCCCUUCAGUGCUGCAGCUAACGCAUUAAGCAUUCCGCCUGGGGAGUACGGCCGCAAGGCUGAAACUCAAAGGAAUUGACGGGGGCCCGCACAAGCGGNGGAGCAUGNNGUUUAAUUCGAAGCUACGCGAAGAANCUUUACCAGGUCUUGACAUACUAUGCAAAUCUAGAGAUUAGACGUUNCCCNUUCGGGGGACAUGGNNACNNNGGNNCAUGNNNNUCGUCAGCUC